rnacentral:rRNA from 1 species
UACGUAGGGGGCAAGCGUUGUCCGGAAUCAUUGGGCGUAAAGAGCGUGUAGGCGGUCCGGUAAGUCCGCUGUGAAAGUCGAGGGCUCAACCCUCGAAUGCCGGUGGAUACUGUCGGGCUAGAGUGCGGAAGAGGCGAGUGGAAUUCCUGGUGUAGCGGUGAAAUGCGCAGAUAUCAGGAGGAACACCUAUUGCGAAGGCAGCUCGCUGGGACGUAACUGACGCUGAGACGCGAAAGCGUGGGGAGCAAACAGG